rnacentral:rRNA from 3 species
GAGGGGGGCUGCUCCUAGUACGAGAGGACCGGAGUGGACGCAUCACUGGUGUUCGGGUUGUCAUGCCAAUGGCACUGCCCGGUAGCUAAAUGCGGAAGAGAUAAGUGCUGAAAGCAUCUAAGCACGAAACUUGCCCCGAGAUGAGUUCUCCCUGAGACUUUAAGUCUCCUGAAGGAACGUUGAAGACGACGACGUUGAUAGGCCGGGUGUGUAAGCGCAGCGAUGCGUUGAGCUAACCGGUACUAAUGAACCGUGAGGCUUAACCUUACAACGCCGAAG